AUCCCAUAGAGACCCCAUACAGACCCAUAGAGACCCAUAGAUCCCAUAGAGACCCACAGAUCCCAUAGAGACCCAUACCGACCCCAUAGGGACCCAUAGAUCCCAUAGAGACCCACAGAUCCCAUAGGGACCCAUAGAGACCCAUAGAGACCCACAGAUCCCAUAGGGACCCAUAGAGCCCCAUAGAGCCCCAUAGGGACCCAUAGAGCCCCAGAGAGACCCACAGAUCCCAUAGGGACCCAUAGAGACCCAUAGAGCCCCAUAGGGACCCAUAGAAACCCAUAGAGACCCACAGAUCCCAUAGAACCCCAUAGAGACCCAUAGGGACCCAUAGACCCCAUAGAGACCCAUAGAGACCCACAGAUCCCAUAGGGACCCAUAGAGACCCAUAGGGACCCAUAGGGACCCAUAGAUCCCAUAGAGACCCACAGAUCCCAUAGGGACCCAUAGAGACUCACAGAGCCCCAUAACCACCCCAUAGUCACCCCACUCCUCUCCCAAACCGGAUGUCCCCCCUUCCAACACCUCCGAAAACCGGAAGUCGUCCCAUCCCCCCAACACACACACCGGAAGUCCCUCCCUCUCACACCCCCGAACAGGAAGUCGUCCCCAUUCCCAACCCCAAAACCGGAAGUCCACCCUCCAACACCCUCAACCGGAAGUCGUCUCCACCCCCCAACCCCCAAACCGGAAGUCCCUCUUUCCCACUUCCCCAAACCGGAAAUCGUCCCAUCCCAAACCCACCAAACCGGAAGCCGUCUUCCCUCCCCCUCUUUUCCCAACCGGAAGUCCCUCCCCAAGGACGUACCGAGGCGCUGACGAGCCGCCCCCCGGCCGGAUGCCAGCAGACAUCGCGGACGCAGCCGCCGGGAUGAGCCAACCUCCGCACGGUGGCGCCCGUCAGCACGUCGUACACUGCGGCCAUGACGGAAGGAAGGGGGCGGGACCGGUGUUACCUCCAACUUCCGGCCGGAAACCACGCCCCCAACUUCCCCCUUCUUCAUUCAUUCCCCUCUCACUUCCACCCCGUAGGCAGAAUGGGGGGGUUUUGGCCACGCCCACUUUGCCUCAGAGCCCAAUGGGGCCGAGGCCUUUAAGCCACGCCUCCGGGCUCACUUCCGGUCAGAAGCCACGCCCCUUCAUUCAUUCAUUAAUUCAUUCAUCCAUUGUUGCCCACUUCCGGCCUGCCCAACCCAUACGGAAAAUGGGGGCUUUGGCCACGCCUACUCUGUCUCAGAGCCACGCCCACUGACAUAACGACCAAUGGGAUCGAGAGCUUUAAGCCACGCCCCCUGGAUCACUUCCGUCCAGAAGCCACUCCCCCCAAUUCAUUCGUUCCCGUCCACUUCCGGCCUUCUUUAAGCCCCGCCCACCCCAUGCAACUCAAAGGGACUUGAAGCCACGCCCCCUUCCUUAAGCCCCGCCCAACCGCAUAGAACCCAAUGAAGACUAAAGCCACG
rnacentral:lncRNA from 1 species